UACGAAGGGGGCUAGCGUUGUUCGGAAUCACUGGGCGUAAAGGGCGCGUAGGCGGCCAUAUAAAUCGGGGGUGAAAGCCUGUGGCUCAACCACAGAAUUGCCUUCGAUACUGUAUGGCUCGAGACCGGAAGAGGUAAGUGGAACUGCGAGUGUAGAGGUGAAAUUCGUAGAUAUUCGCAAGAACACCAGUGGCGAAGGCGGCUUACUGGUCCGGUUCUGACGCUGAGGCGCGAAAGCGUGGGGAGCAAACAGG
rnacentral:rRNA from 1 species